rnacentral:lncRNA from 1 species
UCGAAAGUUCAGUGAAUGUAAGGUUGAAAUUUUUUUCGAUGGUGGUUUCUCCCACCUGUUUGGUUCUCUUCCGGCUGGUUGUUUCGUGCUUAUGAUGGUGUUUGUGGGAGCGCCGGCAGACCCUCCAUUCUUCAUCCUCUAGCGGUUCUCGCCGGAGGUAAGCUUAUUAUUUGGGUCUGCCCCCUCCUUCAUCACCCUUCAUCCGCCUGUUUUGCUACUUGCCAAGGGUUCCUUUCGGUGGGAGUGUUCCUCCUCCACCCAUCGAUUCAUGUGGUCUUCACGUUCAAGGCAUAUCACGUGUUCUCUCUUUCCGAUGGAGGCUCUCCCGCCUGUUUAGUUUUCAUCCGUCUGUUAGCUUCUUGCAGAUGGUAGUGUGUUUUGGGUUCGCAGGUAGACCUUCCAUCCUUCAUCCUCUCGCUGUGUAACGUCACCACGGAGGUAUGCUUAUUUUGGGUCUUCCCUCUCCCUCUUCGCCGUCAUCUACUUGGUUGCUUCUCGUCGAUGGUUUCUACUCGGUGGUAGAGCAUAUGAGUUCAGACUGUGCUCCCCACUUUUUCAUCCCUCCCGUGGUAAUACUUCACGCCGGAGGGACCAAGCUUAGCUUUCGGGAUUGCCGUCUCGCUUCAUCUAUAUUGUAGAGUUUAACUGCUCUUUGCCGAUUAUCCACAAAGGGUUUGCAGAAGACUGAAAAAACGGUAAAAUUCUGGUAGUUUGUUCGAAAGUUCCGGUUGCAUUUUCACCGGAUAAGUCAUGUUCUACCUACUAGCCUGGGCCUUCCUUCUUUCCGACGUAAUUCACCGGAUAAGUCAUGUUCUACCUACUAGCCUCGUGUGGGACGAGGAAUUCCAACACUGCACAACCAACACAACAAAGUUGAAGAUGAAGGAAGCCCAACGGUGCACGACCAGCAUAACAAGAUUGAAGAUCAAGAAAGCCCGCCGGCGGUGCACGACAAAAUUGAAGAUGGUAGCCGGAGCAGUGGUUGUGAGGGACAAGCAGGAAGUCCGGCGGUGGACAACCAACAAAACGAAUCUUGAGGCAGUGGCGGAGCCAGUAAUUUAUAUUAGAGGGACUGACCCAUUUUUUUUUUUUGGUAUGUCGUACAUUUUAGAUGUUUUUACUUAAAAAAAAUAACUAUAAUAAUAAUAAUAAACAAUAUUUUCAUAAAUUAUACUAUAGUUUCAAUAUAUUACAAAUAACUUAAGACUAUAUACUUGGUGAGCUAAUUGUUUUCGUUUGAAAAGGCAAUGAUAAUUGACUUAAUUCGAUAUGUAUUCAUUGACUAAUUAAAAACGUUGCAAUAUCUUUUCAAUAUACACGACCAAAUUGUUAUUUAUCCACUCAUUAAUCAAUUAUCAAUAUUUAUAAAAUUAAAUAAAAUGUACAGAAUAUCAACAAAUUAAUAGAAGAAGUGAUACAAAAUUAACUAUCAUAGCUUCUAUUUAACCAUCCUUUAGAGCACUCCCAGCAGAUCACCUAAAUAUAUCAAUAACUCUAAAUUUAGGCUAAAAUAAUUGAAAAUGGGAUAAAAAAUGCAUCCAGCAGAUCCCCUAAAUUGGAAGGUGGGCCCACAAUUUGAAUAAAAAAAAAGAAAAAAAAGUUUGACUAACGGAGUUGGACGGCGUUAGGUCAGAAGGGUUUAAAUAUAUGAUUUUUCGGACUUUGAGGGCCUAUUUGCACGCACAGUGACUAUGAGAAGUAAUACGCUAUAGGAGCCUAUACUACAGGGGUCUAUCUGCACCUUAACCAUUUUUCUAUUAAUAAGAAAUUAACAAUAGAUACGUCACGUCAAAUAUUUGCACGUCAUAUUAGCUUGGUAUUUGGCCGGAAUUUGGAUUAGUAGCAAAAUCAGAUAAAAUCUAAAGUUUAGUAAUUUUCACGCUACAUUUCAAAGUUUGUGUGCAAAAUCAGAAUUGGAAGAAAGUUUAGUAUUUUAUGGGCAAUUAACCCAAAAUUAAAAUGCCCUAAAACUUUGAAAAGAAGGCUCUGCCUUCUCUCUAGACUCCAAACUCACGCUCUCUCUCUAACUUCCGCCGGAGGAUACCUCUUCCAUCACUUGCGGUUGUUUCCUCCCUUCACUUUUAGGGAUGGAGUUUUAUCUUUGGAAUCGAUUUAUGGCAUAACAGUUCUCUCCCUCUUCGAUGGUAGCUCUUUUGCCUAAUUGGUCUUCGUUUGGCUGGAUGCUUCUUGCUAUUGGGAGUGCGGUUUUUGGAGUUUUGGCCGACCCUCAUCCUUCACCCUCCAGCGUCGAUACUUAUUCCUGGAGGUAUGCUUUUUCCGUUGGGUUUGCUGUCUCCUUCUUCACCUCCCUCCUGCCGGUCACAUCCUUCCAGAUGGGUUCCUUCCGGUGGAAUUGCCUCAGAGUUCCGGCAGACCCUUCUUCUCCAUCCUCACGCGGUAAACCUUACGCGGAGAUGCCUUCCUUCAUUGCGGGUCUGCCCUCUCCCCCAUCGCCGACUGUUUGAGGUAACUGCUCUUUGCCGGAAAUCAUAAGCUUUUGCAGAAGAUUGGAUAAGCUGGAAGUAUUUUUCCGGCAGUUCAUUCGUAAGGUCAGGUUUGAAACUUUUUUCGAUGGUGGUUCUCCCACCUGUUUGGUUCUCUUUCGGUUGGUUGUUUCGUGCUUAUGAUGGUGUUUGUGGGAGCACCGGCAGACACUCCAUUCUUCAUCCUCUAGCGGUGAAACUUCUCGCCGGAGGUAAGCUUAUUAUUUGGGUCUGCCCCCUCCUUCAUCACCCUUCAUCCGCCUGUUUUGCUACUUGCCAAGGGUUCCUUUCGGUGGGAGUGUUCCUCCUCCACCCAUCGAUUCAUGUGGUCUUCACGUUCAAGGCAUAUCACGUGUUCUCUCUUUCCGAUGGAGGCUCUCCCGCCUGUUUAGUUUUCAUCCGUCUGUUAGCUUCUUGCAGAUGGUAGUGUGUUUUGGGUUCGCAGGUAGACCUUCCAUCCUUCAUCCUCUCGCUGUGUAACGUCACCACGGAGGUAUGCUUAUUUUGGGUCUUCCCUCUCCCUCUUCGCCGUCAUCUACUUGGUUGCUUCUCGUCGAUGGUUUCUACUCGGUGGUAGAGCAUAUGAGUUCAG